UACGGAGGAUCCGAGCGUUAUCCGGAUUUAUUGGGUUUAAAGGGUGCGCAGGCGGGAGAUUAAGUCGGCGGUGAAAUUUUGCAGCUCAACUGUAAAAGUGCCUUCGAAACUGGUUUCCUUGAGUGUAGCUGAAGUAGGCGGAAUUUGUGGUGUAGCGGUGAAAUGCAUAGAUAUCACGAGGAACUCCGAUUGCGCAGGCAGCUUACUAAACUACUACUGACGCUCAUGCACGAAGGCGUGUGGAUCAAACAGGAUUAGAUA
rnacentral:rRNA from 1 species